CCCCCCCCCCUAUUGAAAAUGGAGCUAGCCUAUACCACUCUGGAACGAAAUGCAGGAAUACCUAAGUCACUGUGAUUGUCAACGAUUUUCUGGAGAUGGAGGCUUGCCACCCCCACAUUGGAAAUUCUGUUAUGGUCCUGUGUUACGCCGAAAUAAAUACAGCUCUGACAGGCCUCUUCUCUAUCGAAGACAGGUGCAGUACAGAAACCAUGGCCAUAAAAUCUGGAAACCAUACAACAGUUAGUUUCAAGUUCAAUCAGUUAAUUCGCACGCGUACAAGAAUUAAAAAGAUUCAAAAUUUCAAAAAAAAUGUUUUUAAUCUUUUUUUAUUUUUCAAACAUUUUAAAAAAAUUUAAGAAAGGUAUUUUGAAUUUUUUGAAUAUUUUUCACGCUGACUUUCAGACGGAUUUUCUCUAGUUUUGUUAUGGAUUUUGUUUCACAAUUAGUUCUUAGACAGAGGCUGUGUAGCGUAAUCAUCAAAGUGCACACGCGAAAUUGUUUAUUGUACUUAUUCUAAAGAAAAAUUAUAUAUUACCUACUUACUGUUAUUAUUAUAUAUAUUGUUAAGUUGUCCUAUAAUUGGCUUUUGCUAUUAGGCAAUAAAUUUAUUAUUUAUUUAUUAUUAAUUUAUAAAGAAGUUCUUAUUGUAACCAUGAUGCGUUGACAAAAUAAAU